CUGCUAUUGAAUUGUGGUCAAGGAAUUUAAGAGCUCCUUUUUAAACAGUUUUUAAACUACUUUUUCUUAUUUGCUAAUAGCUUUUGGACAUGAAGCACAGGAUCCUGGUGAUGUGAAGAGCAGGCAAGAGGGAGCACUGGGAGCACCACACAUGAAUGUUGCUCACUGGCACAUAGCAGGAAGGCACUGAUGGAGAGCUGCCACCUCUUGGAUCUGGGACACAGGAGCUGCUCAGAGAAAACCCUCUCAGGGCUGCUCAGAUGGGCAGCCCACCUGAACAC
rnacentral:lncRNA from 1 species